ensembl:snRNA U6 U6 spliceosomal RNA
GUGCUCACUUCAGCAGCACAUAUACUAAAAUUGGAAUGAUACAGAGAAGAUAAGCAUGGCCUCUGUGCAACUGUGACAUGCAAAUUCAUGAAGUGUUCCAGAUUUUU